rnacentral:snRNA from 1 species
AUCAAAUAUGUUUUAGUUUUCCAU